GCGCCAACAUAUGCUACAGAUAACUGAAAAACAAAAGCAGGUGCGAAAUGUUAGAAAAUAUGUUAGAUUACAGCUGUAAGCACUGCACUGCACAAUUUUCACAAACGUAUGUGUGCGCUGGCGUACAUAUCGCAAAACGAAACAAAUGAAAAAUGUGGUGGAAGAUCUUUGACAGAUUACGCUUUGGAGAAAUCAAUGAUCAGUGAGCGAAUGUCACAAAAGGCAGAUAAGGUAAUUGCUAGUAUUGUUAUUUGUUUAGUUUCGAUGACAGCUGUUGCCGAAGGUAGUCAAUUAAGCGAAUCCUGUUAUCCCAUUGGUUUUGUGUUGGUCACUUUUAUCACAAAUGGAAGUUAGUGAUGGUAUUAGACAGGAAUGGAUAUAGAAGACACUCCUGGUGGAAGUGUAAAGUUGUAAGCUCGUCUUUCUGAGCAGUAGUGAAUACUAUCUACUGCCCAAAGGACGAAUUUACAAGUUUAUACUGCAAGGUACAUCUAGUUUGCCACAAUCAGGUUGACUCAUCUGGUGCAGUCCAUAAAUGAAGAUACUGCAGCAAGUAGCAUUUUUUAUUUUCCAUAAGCAGGACCAUUAUUUAGAAUGUGGAAGUUCGACAGAUUCAAGAUAGCAGUAGCGUAUUAACUGAGUAGUCUGGUUGUCAUCUUUUUUAUGAGUGUACUGUGUGGUAGUUGUAUAACUGUCAUUUCUUAAAAUUGUCCUUACCUGUAAGUCUCCUUAAACUGAUUUUACACACACACACACACACACACACACACACACACACACACACACACACACACAGCAAAAUUAUAUUGUUGUGAGGAAAACACAGAGGAAGCUAAUGAAUUGAUAACAUUUUUAAUUUUGUUGUUAAAACUGACAGUGUUUUUUAAUUUAGCUAUGGUGACAACAUAAAGUUGAAAAAGACAAAAAUCAAAGGAAGGGAAUAGAUUAGAAAUGUUAUAGACCACUUCUUUUCAAAAAUUGUUAUACUUCAUUAUACUUAGUAUUCCUAAAAUCCAUAUUUGUUUGCACAUAUUUACCAGUAUAAAGUAAGUGAAUACAUGUUUCAGCGUAGUUCGUAGCCAUAGUUCGCAGAUGAACAGGUCAGAUUGUAUGUAUUAAAGACACAAAAAUGCAUAUUUUCAUGUCAUAAUUAGUCAAAGUAAUAAAAUCUAGUAAUGCUGUGGUGUAUUUUUUAUUUUUCUAAUACUUAAAACCCACAAACAGGAUACAAUUCUCUCAAUCAUGCAAAAUUGUGGUCAUGCCAGUUGCUUGGUAUAUAUGUAUCUUUCCAUACUAUUAAGUUUAGUAACUGAGUGAUCUAUUGUAUGAAAGAAAAAAUAAGGUUGUUAAGAACAGAUAUUUUCACUCUUAAACAUGUUUUUCAUUUCAUGUUUGUAAACUACUUUGCUAGAAUUUCUGCUGGCAAUAAUUGUGCAGUAGAUACUUUUCCUUUAUUUUUAAAAACUAGUACAGACAAUUUUCUCUGGGUGAAAAUUAAACUACAAACUCUGAGAGGUUGCAUGGGACAUGUAAAACACUUCUUGUGUUUCCCUGAGAGGCACCAUCUUAAGAACACAAAUCUUACUUACAGAAAAGUAACACAAUUUUUAAUUCUUCAUUGCCAAGAGACAACAACAUUAACAUACGAUAAUUAUUUCAGUUGACUUGUAAACAAAGGUAAUGCCAGCAGGUUAUGUUCUGUAUAACAUAGUCCAAAGAAGUGGCCUUCAUUUCUCCUGUUACUGCUAGUAUCUUGGCAACCAGCUCCUCUGCUGAUUCAUCAGGUGUUUUGAAAAUGAGAUUGAACAUUUCUCCCCACACAAAGUGCAGAGGGUUCAAAUCAGUA